rnacentral:lncRNA from 1 species
GGAGCUGGAAAGGUGGAGGCGGAAGUGACUGAUCAAUUCAGGGGCGUGGGGUUCGUUUAGGUUUUGCCCUGUGUAUGACCUCGUUUGGAGCCAUGAAACCAGAGUUUCGCUCUUUUUGACCAAGCUGGAGUGCAAUGGCGUGAUCUCGGCUCGCUGCAAUCUCUGCCUUCCAGGUUCAAGUGAUUCUCCUGCCUCAGCCUUCUGAGUAGUUGGGAUUACAGGUGGCUUUUCUACAAUAUAAAGAUGGAAAUGGGAAGAAGAUGUUCAUUGCAAAUUAAGGAAGCUCUUCCACGAGUUCACGAAUGGAAAUAACAUCAAGAGUUUUUCAUCUUCUUAGUGUGCAAGGUAGUUCCAAAAUGUCUUAAAAGGAAGAGAUAAAGUUAAAUUAAAAGUACUGUAUUGGGUAAGUUAUUUGAUUGUUUGAUAAUCCAAUUAUUAAAGAAGAUUGAAUUCUUUUAACACCCUGGGAAAAAUGCUUGAGAGGAAAUGCUGGUAUAAGAGACCAGAAUGUGCCAGCCCCAAUUAUGCCUCUUUGGCAUAAGGACUAAUUUGAAUUGAUUAUUUUGAGAAACAGCAGACACAGGAGAAGCUCUGAAAACAAGAUUAGAAGUUAUACUUUCGUAAAUAAAACAUAAAUUUAUAAACAAAAUCUUCAUUUGUAAGGGUAUCUCCCUCCCUAUAUCAAGAAGAGAAGGAUGACUCUAAAUCACAGUGGAAUCUUCUCAAUGACGAGGACACUGACUUAACUCUGCAAAGCAAACCUUACCCUUGUCUACCACGCUUUUUCUGGUUGCCUCCUCAUAACUGGCCUCUCCCCCACCUGUCUUUCUUUUAUUUCAGCUGAAGAUAGCAGUGUUUAAGCCUGAAUUCUAAGCCACUUCUUUGAAA